UCUUUGUAUUAGUAUCUCCACACAAAUGAUUGUGAGAUCAAUCAUUCUCUGCAUCGAGCAUACAUAAGACAUGCCAGUCUUUCCGGUAAUCAUUGAUCCCCGACUCAAUGUACCAAUGACUGGGAAUAUUUAAGAUUAGAAUUUUAUAAUUUUAAGUCUCACUAGUAUGAUCUCAUCAUAGUCUUAAAACCAUUGCCCUAAUCUAAGGAGUUUAUCAUAAAUAUAAUCAACAGCAUAUGAUAAAACAUAACGCCUUUAUUCAUAUUUAAAUGUCAUGUACAUGAUUUGGACAAAUCAAAAGAAAAA
rnacentral:lncRNA from 1 species